GGCCCGCGAGGGAUCAUUCGGGAUUGGAUAGUGACGGACGGGUGAGUAACGCGUGGGAACAUGCCCAGAGGUGGGGGAAACAGUUGGAAACGACUGCUAAUACCGCAUAUGUCUUACGAGACAAAGACUUCGGUCGCCUUUGGAUUGGCCCGCGUUAGAUUAGGUAGUUGGUGGGGUAACGGCCUACCAAGCCUACGAUCUAUAGCUGGUCUGAGAGGAUGAUCAGCCACACUGGGACUGAGACACGGCCCACACUCCUACGGGAGGCAGCAGUGGGGAAUAUUGCGCAAUGGGGGAAACCCUGACGCAGCCAUGCCGCGUGGGUGAAGAAGGCCUUCGGGUUGUAAAGCCCUUUCACCGGUGAAGAUGAUGACUGUAGCCGUAUAAGAAGCCCCGGCUAACUUCGUGCCAGCAGCCGCGGUAAUACGAAGGGGGCAAGCGUUGUUCGGAGUUACUGGGCGUAAAGGGCGCGUAGGCGGACUAAUUAGUCAGGGGUGAAAUCCCGGGGCUCAACCUCGGAACUGCCUUUGAUACUGUUAGUCUAGAGUCUGUGAGAGGAUGACGGAAUACCCAGUGUAGAGGUGAAUGUCUGAGAUAUUGGGUAGAACACCGGGUGGCAAAGGGGGUCAUCUGGGGCAGCACUGACCCUG
rnacentral:rRNA from 1 species